rnacentral:rRNA from 1 species
GCAGCAGGCGCGUAAAUACCCAAUGCCUGCCACAGGGAGGUAGUGACAAUAAAUAACAAUGCCGGGCCUUUGUAGGUCUGGCAAUUGGAAUGAGAACAAUUUAAACCUCUUAUCGAGUAUCAAUUGGAGGGCAAGUCUGGUGCCAGCAGCCGCGGUAAUUCCAGCUCCAAUAGCGUAUAUUAAAGUUGUUGCAGUUAAAAAGCUCGUAGUUGGAUUUGUGGCUGUCACGGGCGGCCUAUCACUUAGUGUUAGUGCUUGCCUGUGUCGCCAUCCUUGGGUGGAGCCCGUGUGGCAUUAGGUUGUCGUGCGGGGGAUGCCCAUCGUUUACUGUGAGAAAAUUAGAGUGUUCAAAGCAGGCUUAUGCCGUUGAAUAUGUUAGCAUGGAAUAAUAAGAUAGGACCUCGGUACUAUUUUGUUGGUUUGCGCACCGAGGUAAUGAUUAAUAGGGACAGUUGGGGGUAUUCGUAUUCCAUUGUCAGAGGUGAAAUUCUUGGAUUUCUGGAAGACGAACUACUGCGAAAGCAUUUACCAAGGAUGUUUUCAUUAAUCAAGAACGAAAGUUAGGGGAUCGAA